ACGUGGGCUUGGAGUAAGCUUUUCCACUCUACAUGGCCACCACAACGUGCUGUUCUGCUGAAGUGGUGACAUAAAAUCACUAAAUCACGACGGAAAGAUUAGUACAGUAAGCAAAACUCAUCUUAUCGCAUCUCACAACAAUUAAUGGGCGGUUGCUUUUUUCUUAAGGCUUUUCGGCCACACAGGUAGCGAGUCCUCUAAGAUAGCAAGCUGCUUAUUCUCUUAACACAACCUCCCACUUAACCUUAAGGUAACUGGCUUUAUUUUGAUACAUUCAUUAAGGUGGAUAAGGCUUGGAUGUAGGACUGUGCCAUACUGCACAAGGUACGGGAUUUUCAUGUUUCGAGGUCAUCUUUCACGUGGUCAUCUUAUCUUUGUUGCGACGUUACUCUUAAGGAACGAAGCAGAAAAAAAUCUCUUCACCCAAAAUAGAGGAAUUAUGUUUGCUGACGUUGCAGCUUUCCCCAAGAAGGCAAAAGCAAAGGAAACUCCAUGUUAGAAACAGAAAGGGAAAGAGUGUUGGCUUUACCGGUGGUGAAAAAGACGUGAAAGUCAAGUAAAUGGACUGAAAGAUCGCCGACUGGACAUUGGACUCAAUGUUAAAGCAGAAGAGGUAUCUACCUCAUCUAUGUCACGUAUAUUGUGUAAAACAAUCAAAGAAUAACCUAGUCUAAAUU